UUCUUAUAAAUUUAAUUAUAAGUAAAGUCUGCUCAAUGAAUCAUUUUAAAUAGCCGCAGAAUUUUAACUGUGCUAAGGUAGCAUAAUCACUAGUUCCUUAAUUAGGAUCCUGUAUGAAAGACUUAACAUUUCAGUUUCUUUUUUCUUUUAAUUAUUUUAAAUUAAACUAGUAAUAAAAAUGUUACUAUAAAAAAAAUAGACGACAAGACCCUAUUGAACUUUACUGUAGUUUAGCUGGGGCAGCUAAAUAAUAAAUAUUUUAUUUAACUUUUUUUCAUAAAUGAUCCAAUUCAAUUGAUUACCUGAAUAAGUUACCAUAGGGAUAACAGCAUAAUAUUUUUUUAAAGCUCUUAUUAAAAAAAAAGAUUAUGACCUCGAUGUUGAAUUAAUAAAACUAUAUUAAAGCAAAAAUUAUACAAGUAGGUCUGUUCGACCUUUAAAAUGUUACAU
rnacentral:rRNA from 1 species